rnacentral:lncRNA from 1 species
AACAUGACACCUUAAAGAUCCCUAAUUAUUCAAAACAGGAAAGAGGCUUAGCAACCACUGAGCUCAUCACAGCCAACUUCAGUACCACCUGGUGCAAGAGAGGAAACACCCUGGUAAAAGUGGAAAAAUCAAGACCUUGGUAGUGAUUGAGCAUGAUCUGUGAGAAAAGUAAGUUUGCUCUUCCUGUUAGAGAGGAAGGAAUAAACCAAGGUAGGAUUCAUUAUGCAGCUCAUAUGUUGCUUGGUCCAACCCAAUGAAUUCAGAACAUUUCCCCCCUACCUACCUUGAAGAACAUAUUCCAGAUCCAUUCCUCUUCCUGGUUUAUGUCUGAACAAAGUGAAGGUCAGCAUCUGAGUGGGAUCAAUUCAUGGCUCUGCAAAAGGUUCCUGUGCCAAACAACAAACAAAGCACCUUCAUCCAUCUGGACAGAACUGAUUAAGUCUCUUAGCACACGUCACUAGGCAGGAGAGACAAAGAUGAAAGGAUAUUCAACAGCAGACAACAAGAAGUUCUGCCAUCGGUAGAGUGAAUGCAUAAACACCGACAAUCUGC